rnacentral:rRNA from 1 species
UUUCGCAAUGCCCGAAAGGGUGACAAUGCGACGCCGCGUGAGCGAUGAAGGCCUUCGGGUUGUAAAGCUCUGUCAGCUCGGAUGAAGGCAGAAAGGCGAAUAGCCUUUCUGAUUGACGGUACGAGCGAAGGAAGCCACGGCUAACUCUGUGCCAGCAGCCGCGGUAAUACAGAGGUGGCAAGCGUUGUUCGGAAUCACUGGGCAUAAAGCGCGCGUAGGCGGCAUGGUAAGUCGGGUGUGAAAUCCCUCGGCCCAACCGAGGAAUUGCGCUCGAAACUACCGUGCUUGAGGACAGGAGGGGAGCCUGGAAUUCCUGGUGGAGCGGUGAAAUGCGUUGAUAUCAGGAGGAACACCGGCGGCGAAGGCGAGGCUCUGGCCUGUUUCUGACGCUGAGGCGCGAAAGCUAGGGGAGCAAACGGGAUUAGAUACCCCGGUAGUCCUAGCCGUAAACGAUGGGCACUAAGUAGAGGGGUUUU